ensembl:lncRNA
GGAAGAAGGUGGUCUAUGCACCUCCACUGGCCCAGAGGCAGAUUUACCAGGAAGCUAGUGAAAUGUCUUGCUAAAUUGUCCAGGCUGGCCUCAAUCUUGCAACCCUCCUGCCUCAGCCUCCUGUGUAGCUGGGAUUACAAGUAUAUACCCAGCUAAUUUUCCUAGUUUUGUAAGUGGAGAACCACCAUCUUCCAUUGGUCACUCUGUUCUUGAGAAAGCAGCAUUGAAAACCCAAACUUUCUGUCUCCAUCAACUUUUAGCCACCAGCCACUUGGUAGAUCAAGGCAAUGGAGCGUGUUCCAGGCAAACAUCUCCAGUAGCUGGACCGCCAGUGUCUGCUAUGCUCCUGACCUCUGUUUGGGGGAAGCGCAGCAGAGGGAGACAGAUGGAGAUGGGCUACAGGUGAGCUCAUAUUCCCACCUCUAAGCCUCUGUCCGCUCUGAGAACUGGCGCUGGGAUGUCUGAGCAUUGGCCCUGGGACAGCUUACAAGCUGUCCUUUUAAAGCUGGUGCCUGGGCAUAGGAGGAGGCAUUGGUUGGGUACAAGGUGGAAGGUGGUGAAUGAGUAAUGCUUUCUACCUAAGCUUUUCAAAUGUCUAUAGAGGCUAUUGUAAAAGGAUAUAUUUUUAUAAUUAAAGGUAUAUAAUUUAUAGUAGGUGUUGUCCUUAUAUGUUUUUCCCAUCAAAGGAAAUUAAAAUACAAUAAUCAUGAGGUCCUGGGAACAUUAUUUGACCUAAGAGGAAUCCUUGUGGAUGAAGAGUUUACUGGUCUUUAGGAAAUGAAAUAUGAACACACAUUCUGGUUUUUCCUUUCUCCCCCAGAUCCUGGGAGAUAAGAUGGAAGCCACAGAGCUGGCUGGGCUGUAAGGAAAACAGCCUGAUGUAUCUUUCGAUGUGUCUUUCACGUUCAGAUUGUUUUCCCCCCAACAGCAUGUGUAACUCUGAGAUCUGUACCCACCCCGUAUCAUUGACGUGGUUUAGAGAGGAUCUCACAGAGCUGGAGUUAGUGAGGCAGGACACUGGAGGAGGGAAGACAGAAAAGGAGAACGAGGCUUCCAGCAGCUGCUGGAGUGUACAGCUACCUUGGCUCUUUGCCUUCUGGCCUGGUUGCCAUGGGUUAGUCGUCAUUUAAAUAUUUCCUGGCUUCCCCUCUGGCAUGGUGGAUUGGGGACUUUAAAACAUGGGCUCUUUCCCACCUAGGCUUGUUAUGCACCUUUCCUGGAGACAUAAAGAGCUUGUUUGAAGGUCCUGACCUGGCAUGGGUGUUGCGCAAACAGGAGCAGGGCAACAGCACCUCUAUUUGCGCAGUGCUGUGGCUAAGUAGCCCUUUCAUUGCGGUAGUCAACACCUUUUGUUGUUGCCAGAGCCUUCAGGAUUGAUGCAGUCUGAGCUGGGCUUUCAGGUGGGUUGGAGAGGGAUAAAUGUGCCCAGAGCAACUUCCAGAAGGGACAGGCUGAACAUUGCUUCCUUUGCUUCCUCUCUUCAGAGAAUCUGCUAAGGAAAACAGAAGCUUGUUAGUCUCAAUUUUGGCGAUAAGUAGAAAAUAUAACCAGAGACAGUAAAAACCCUUUAGGAAGUUCCUACUUAACACAUUUGCUUCUGUGGUUCACAUUUUCACUUCCUGCCCUUGAUUCUCGAUUUCUUUGCUAUGAAAUUUUCAUGAGUUGGUUCUUUUUGAAAAAAGAAAUCUUAAAUCACACAUAAUUAUAUUUGCUCAGACUCUACUUAAGGUGUAAACUCACUGGACUGAGUGUGUGGGGGGAUGCUGCUCUGCUAAGAAUCUCAAGUUCAAGUUCAAGCUCUAAAAUGGGCUUUGUCAGAAGCCCACUGGGGCUGGGGUGCGGUUUUUCAGUUGGGAAGAUGUGCUCAGGUGAGCUGGUUGGUGGCUGGCUGGAUUAACAGCAGCACAGCUAGUUACUGUUGAAAGAGGUUAAGCUGAUGGCCAGUGAUCCAAAUAGGGAAGGAUUCUCAGCCCAGCUUUUCUGUCCUCAAAUUCUCUUCCUUUGCCAACUGUCAGCAUUCUGCCUGUAUAUGAAAUCCAAAGCCAAUAUGACAAACUCCAAAGCAAUAUGACAAACUCUCCGGAGCACCUCUCUUGAUUUCAUGUCUUUGCCCUUAUUUCCCUACUGUAAGGGAGAUUUUGGGGGGUAUCAGGAGGAAUUGUGCAUAAAUACUUACAUGCCAAUUCUCAAACUCUUGAACAACUUUUGUUCAAACUCUAAGAUGUUAAAGUUCUGUCAUUAGUACACUCACUCAGUUAAUAUAUUUUCAGUGGAAACCAAUGAACCCUUUACAUUGGCCCUGACAUCAUGUCCUGGAAAGAUAUGCAUGGUCUCAUCCUUAGGAUACUAACCAUCUGGGAGUCCAGGCAAGAUUUAUGAAUGAGUCAACUGGAGAGUAAUACUCGAUGGCUCUACUUUAGUCUCUAACCUUGUGCUCAGCAUAGAAAAGGAGAUCAGCUGAUUCUAAUCCAGUGAAGAGAGUGGGGAAGGCUAUAAGUGGCCAUAACUGGUGUAGUCUGUGUGUAGAAAGUGAGGGGAUGAGCCAGGUCUUGAAGAGGGCUGGCUGGAAGGAAGUUGAAUGGGUUAGAAAGAGGGUACUACAAGUAGUCAGGAUGGCUGCAAAACAUACCCAGGAAACAGACGCUGUUGGGUCCAGGAAGAGCUAUGAUGAGAUGAAGUGUAGAAGAGGUUGAAAAUCAACUGGAGGUGAGACUUGGAUUAAGCCAAGUUGAUAAAACUGAGGGGGCUGCUGUGGGUUUGAGGGGAGUGACAUGGUUAUUCAUGUUGAGCAUCCCUAAUCCAAAAAUCCAAAAUCCAAAAUACUCCCAAAUGAGAAACAUUUUGAGCAUCUGUAUGCACCCUGAGUGGAAAAUUCCACACCUGACCUUAAGUGAUGGGUUUGCAGUCAAAACGCAGGUGAACUAAAAGUAUUGUAAAAAAAAUUACUUUCAGUCCAUGUGUAUAAAGUGUAUAUGAAACAUCAAUAAGUCUCAUAUUUAGACUUGAGUUCCCCAAGAGAUUUCAUUAUGUAUGUGCACAUAUUCCCAGAUCUGAAAACAACCGAAGCCCUUUUAGACCCAAGCAUUCUGGAUAAGGGACGCUCUAUCUGUAGGAGAUCCUUAAGGUGCAGCAAAACUCAUUGUCUUGAAUCAGAUAUAGCCUCACGGGCAGGGGUUUUUUAAAAAUUGAUUUUGUGAUGAAAUAUACAUAGCAUAAAAUUUCCUAUUUUAACAAGUUUUAAGUGUAUAGAUGAGUAGUGUCACGUAUAUUCAUAUUGUUGUGUGCAGCCAAUCUUCAGAACAUUUUCAUCUUGCAUGUUGGAGCUCCAUACCCAUGAGCAACCAUUACUUACUUCUUCCUUAUCUCCUCUAGACUUGGCAACCUAUUUUCUGUUUUGUAUGAAUUUGACUACUGCAGGUACCUCAUACAAAUGGAAUCCUACAGUAUAUUUGUCGUUUUUGUGGCUGGCUUAUUUCAUUUAGCAUAAUGUCCUCCAGGUUUACUCAUUUGAACUGUGUGUCAGAAUUUCCUUCUCUUUUUUUUUUGAGUAUUUGAGCAUUUUAUUAAAUCAGACGAGGAAUCUCCAUAUUGCCACACAUACGGUCUUGUGUCCCAUUAAUCAGGGCACAGUUCUUGUUUACAAAGAUAGAGCCAGCAGGAGGGUGGCACAAUGUCUAGAGCAUUCACAGAGCAAACACAGCGAGAUCAUGUGAGUAAUAGAACAGUGAAUCAUGACAGAGGUCACAAUUCAUCCUUCACCUUAAAAACACAUGUGUUUUACCCAGAAAAAAAUCUGAAGAGUAAUAGGCUGUCACUAGUCCGAUAAAAUUUCCUUCAGGAACAUGAAGCUUCUUACAAUGGACUGACUUGUUUGCUAGGCAGAAUUUCCAUCCUUUUGAAGGCUUCAUAAUAUUCUGCUGUCUGUACAUACCCCAUUUUGUUUACCCAUUCAUCAGUCCUUGGGUUGUGUCUACCCUGAUCUGUUAUGAAUAACGAUGCUAUGAAUGUGGGUGUACAAAUAUCUCUUGGAGACUUCCUUUCAUUCCUUUGGGAAUGUGUUCAGAAGUUGGAUUGAUAGGUCAUAUGUUAAGUCUAUAUUAAAAUUUUUGAGGAAGCAGCAUACCAUUUUCCACAUUUCCACAGUGGCACCAUUUUACAUUCCCACCAACAAGGCAUAAGAGUUCCUAUUUCUUCAUGUCCUCACCAACACUUGCUAUUAUUUUAUUUUAUUUUUGGAUAGUAGACAUUCUGAUGGGUGUGAGGUGACAUUUCUUCCUUGUUUGGUUUGCAUUUCCCUGAUGACCAGUAAUGCUCAGCUCCUUUUCAUGUAUUUGCUACUGUGUGAAAAGAUGGCCAUUAUAUAUCUUCAUUAGAGAGAAAUCCAUUCAACUCCUUUGCUCAUCUUGAGUAGGGUUGCUUUUUGUAGCUGUUGACUUUUAGGGAUUCCUUCUGUAUUUUAGAACUUUACUAAUCCCUUUUCAUAUGUUAUUUGAAAACAUUUUCCCCAUUCUGUGGCUUACCUCUUUACUCUGCUGAUUAUGUCCUUUGAUGAAGUUCUGUUUGUUUCUUUUUUCUUUUGUUCCUUGUGCCUUUGGUGUUAUAUCCAAGGAAUCAUUGCCAAAUUCAUUUUCUAAAAGUUUCUCCUAAGAGUUUUAUAGCUUUUGGUCUGACAUGUAGGUCUUUGAUCCAUUUUGAGUUAAUUUUUGUAUAUGGGGUAAGGGUCCAACUUUAUUCUCCUUCAUGUGUAUUUGCAGUUUAUCCAACUUCCUUAUUCAUUUAUUAUCCUUUCCUUAUUCAUUUAAUCAUAUACAUAAAGG